GUGCCAAGCAGCCGCGGUAAAACCAGCACCUCAAGUGGUCAGGAUGAUUAUUGGGCCUAAAGCAUCCGUAGCCGGCUCUGUAAGUUUUCGGUUAAAUCUGUACGCUCAACGUACAGGCUGCCGGGAAUACUGCAGAGCUAGGGAGUGGGAGAGGUAGACGGUACUCGGUAGGAAGUGGUAAAAUGCUUUGAUCUAUCGAUGACCACCUGUGGCGAAGGCGGUCUACCAGAACACGUCCGACGGUGAGGGAUGAAAGCUGGGGGAGCAAACCGGAUUAGAUACCCGGGUAGUCCCAGCUGUAAACUAUGCAAACUCAGUGAUGCAUUGGCUUGUGGCCAAUGCAGUGCUGCAGGGAAGCCGUUAAGUUUGCCGCCUGGGAAGUACGUACGCAAGUAUGAAACUUAAAGGAAUUGGCGGGGGAGCACCACAAGGGGUGAAGCCUGCGGUUCAAUUGGAGUCAACGCCAGAAAUCUUACCCGGAGAGACAGCAGGAUGAAGGUCAAGCUGAAGACUUUACCAGACAAGCUGAGAGGUGGUGCAUGGCCGUCGCCAGCUCGUGCCGUGAGAUGUCCUGUUAAGUCAGGUAACGAGCGAGAUCCCUGCCUCUAGUUGCCACCAUUACUCUCAGGAGUAGUGGGGCGAAUUAGCGGGACCGCCGCAGUUAAUGCGGAGGAAGGAAGGGGCCACGGCAGGUCUGUGAUGCCC
rnacentral:rRNA from 1 species